rnacentral:misc_RNA from 1 species
UAGGGGGUGGGUGUUGAGGGAGUCUGGGCAGUCCGUGGGAACCCCCUUUUCGGUUCGGACUUGGGUAGCGAUCGAGGGAUGGUAUCGGAUAUCGACACGAGGAAUGACCGACCGUCCGGCCGGGGAUUUUCGCCGGAAAACUUUUUCGGCGACUUUCCGCGAUCGGUUUUGUUGCCUUUUUCCGAGUUUUCUCAGCAGUUCUCGGACAAAAACUGAUGAAUCGUCGAGGAGAAUGAGCUUGCCUUGCGUGGGCUGCCAUUAGUUCUUCGAGGCGUUAGGGUGGCGGCGGUAUAAAAGUGUCGGAGUUUUUUCAGCAGCUUCUCGGACAAAAAUUGCUGAGUGGCCGAGAAGAAUGGGGGCGUGUCAUGCGUGGGCUGACAUGGAUUCUUCGAGGCCUAGGGGUGGCGGUAUAUAACUUGUUCGCAUGAUAUUACCGAGAUGUCCCCACAGGCAUCUUUUCACCUCGUCGCCGAAGAGAAUGGGCGUGUCAUGCAUGGGCUGACAUGGAUUCUCCUAGGCCGUUUGGGUGGCGGUAUAGUCGUCCUGCGCACGAAAUACCGAGAUGUCCCCAUGGGCAUCGAUUCCACCCGCCUAGGUUGGAUGGGCGUGCUUCGUUGGAAAGCAUGGAUCCGCCUAGGCUGUCCCGAGUGUGAGCGAGGUGUGAGUGUCGCCCAUGGGCAUCGACACCUUGCGGCUAGGAACUGGAACGAGACGGGUAGCAAAGAUUUCGAGUAGCACUUCAUACUACCGUGGGUUUUAAACCUUCCCUAGUUUUGUUGAUGUUAUUCCGAGAAUUAGCAAACCGUAACGAAGAUGUUCUUGGCAACCAUCUUUUGAUGGGAGUCCGGCUGUUCGAAAGCCGGCCAAGGGUGAUGAACGAAAUGUGAACCCUUGUCUCGCCUAGGUUGGAUGGGCGUGCUUCGUUGGAAAGCAUGGAUCCGCCUAGGCUGUCCCGAGUGUGAGCGAGGUGUGAGUGUCGCCCAUGGGCAUCGACACCUUGCGGCUAGGAACUGGAGCGAGACGGGUAGCAAAGAUUUCGAGUAGCACUUCAUACUACCGUGGGUUUUUAAACCUUCCCUAGUUUUGUUGAUGUUAUUCCGAGAAUUAGCAAACCGUAACGAAGAUGUUCUUGGCAACCAUCUUUUGAUGGGAGUCCGGCUGUUCGAAAGCCGGCCAAGGGUGAUGAACGAAAUGUGAACCCUUGUCUCGCCUAGGUUGGAUGGGCGUGCUUCGUUGGAAAGCAUGGAUCCGCCUAGGCUGUCCCGAGUGUGAGCGAGGUGUGAGUGUCGCCCAUGGGCAUCGACACCUUGCGGCUAGGAACUGGAACGAGAUGGGUGGCGAAGAUUUCGAGUAGCACUUCAUACUACCGUCGGUUUUUUAAACCUUCCGAGUUUUGUUGAUGUUAUUCCGAGAAUUAGCAAACCGUAACGAAGAUGUUCUUGGCAACCAUCUUUUGAUGGGAGUCCGGCUGUUCGAUAGCCGGCCAAGGGUGAUGAACGAAAUGUGAACCCUUGUCUCGCCUAGGUUGGAUGGGCGUGCUUCGUUGGAAAGCAUGGAUCCGCCUAGGCUGUCCCGAGUGUGAGCGAGGUGUGAGUGUCGCCCAUGGGCAUCGACACCUUGCGGCUAGGAACUGGAACGAGACGGGUAGCAAAGAUUUCGAGUAGCACUUCAUACUACCGUGGGUUUUAAACCUUCCGAGUUUUGUUGAUGUGUUUCCGAGAAUUAGCAAACCGUAACGAAGAUGUUCUUGGCAACCAUCUUUUGAUGGGAGUCCGGCUGUUCGAAAGCCGGCCAAGGGUGAUGAACGAAAUGUGAACCCUUGUCUCGCCUAG